CGAAGGAUGCAAGCGUUAUCCGGAUUCAUUGGGUUUAAAGGGAGCGUAGGUGGACUGAUAAGUCAGUGGUGAAAUCUUUGGGCUUAACCCAAAAAUUGCCAUUGAUACUGUUGGUCUUGAGUACAGUUGCUGUGGGCGGAAUAUGACAUGUAGUGGUGAAAUACAUAGAGAUGUCAUAGAACACCGAUUGCGAAGGCAGCUCACAAAGCUGUAACUGACACUGAGGCUCGAAAGUGCGGGGAUCAAACAGGAUUAGAUACCCUGGUAGUCCGCACUGUAAACGAUGAUUACUCGCUGCUAGAUGGCAACAUUUAGUGGCUUAGCGAAAGCGAUAAGUAAUCCACCUGGGGAUACGCCGGCAACGGUG
rnacentral:rRNA from 1 species